rnacentral:rRNA from 1 species
UACGUAGGGUGCGAGCGUUAAUCGGAAUUACUGGGCGUAAAGAGCGCGCAGGCGGUCGUUCAAGUCGCGUGUGAAAACCCCCGGCUCAACUGGGGAGGGUCACGCGAUACUGAUCGACUCGAAGGCAGGAGAGGGAAGUGGAAUUCCCGGUGUAGUGGUGAAAUGCGUAGAUAUCGGGAGGAACACCAGUGGCGAAGGCGACUUCCUGGCCUGUUCUUGACGCUGAGGCGCGAAAGCUAGGGGAGCAAACGGG